rnacentral:rRNA from 1 species
GCUUACGGCCAUACCACCCUGAGAACGCCCGAUCUCGUCUGAUCUCGGAAGCUAAGCAGGGUCGGGCCUGGUUAGUACUUGGAUGGGAGACCGCCUCGGAAUACCAGGUGCUGUAAGCU